CCGUAUCCGUCCCAAUAUCCGUUUUUUAUCCUUCAUACCCGACCAUUAGGGUCGAAUCCCUCCGAAGACUCUUACUUGCGGAAAAUUGUCAUCCCUCUCUAUCUCUCUCUCUGGGCACUCUCUCUUGGCGGCGCUGCUCAUGGUCCACCCUACCCUGUCGCCACCCUCCCACAGCCUAUGCAAGCUCCAAUUUUGUUGUUGUUCGGGUUUUCACAAAUUAAAUUUGCAGAAAUUAAAAAGAUCAAAAUCCUAAAGCCUAAGUGAAGAGGGCGACGAGAUAGAGAGGGAGGCGGGGGAGGGCGCGUCAGGGAUGAAGAGUUUGAGAUCAACAGGCUGCGUCUUUGUUCUUCACUUCUGGUUGUUUUGCUCUUCUUCUUUCUCAAUCCCACCCAAAUAUCUCGGUCCCAAAUGAAACACAGAGCCUAUCCAAAUCCAAUAAAAUCUCCCAUCUCUCUAUGAAUUUGGCUAAGCCUUUUUCACAAACACAUGCUCUCUCUUAUGGCUUUGAAUGUAUGUUGGUUGGCCUGGGGAGAAGCGUCGGAGAGAGGAGGAAGGGGACAAAAAAACAGAGGGGAUGGGGGGG
rnacentral:lncRNA from 1 species